rnacentral:lncRNA from 10 species
UGAUAACUUAGGGUAAACCUGUCCAGGCCCCCCAGUAGCUUGCCCAGAGCUUAGAAGGUCAAACAUAAAUAUGAUACAAAUAGAUAGAUGAGCAAAUGAUCAAUGAAUAAAAUUGUUUAAGUAGGGACUGCAUUCCAUGAUGGAGGGCAGGAAGUGGGACAUUGCUGACCUGGUCAUAUGUUGCUGCCAUAAUGCACACUCUCACCUGUUUUUCUCAUUUUCCAGAUAUCACCUCCACUGUCCUGUAGAUAUGACCUUCCAGCUCCCCUACAGGGGCUGAUGAAGGAGAAAUUGAAAGCACCAGCAGUUUCAGUUCCUGCUUAAGGCUACCUCAAGGAAAGCCCAUUUUCCAGGUUUCAGCUCAUAAGAGCAUCAGAGUAUCUGUGAUUUCCCAGAGGAUGGAGGACCUCAUCUGCUAUCCAGGCCCACCUCUGGACCGUCCACCUCCAGGGAAAUUGUCCCGACAAUUUCAAGCCCCAGUAAUCUCUCCCCUCUGGAACUCCAUUUGAACUGCAGUUUGGACACAGGAUCGACCUCUUAAUAUACACUGUCCGGGAAAGGAACCGGAAAAAACCUUGAGGUCACUGACUGCUCUGUGCUGGCUUAUUUCUGUGUCUUUGCUCUUGCUGUUCAUGCCACCUGGAAUGUCCUUGCCCACUCCCUUCCCCUGAGUGAUUCUUAUUAUCCCCCAAGUCUCCACGUAGACAGUGAUUUCUUUGCAGUGCUUUUAUCAAUUCCUUGCCUCCUUCCAGUUUUCUCAUGCUCGGUUACGGAUGCUUCUUUUAUGCUCAAAUAGAUCCAUCACGAUUAAUUACACUAAGUUGUAAUUGCCGCUUCAGAACGACCACCCAUCUCCAGACUACGGAACACUGGCAGACAAGGGGCUGUUUUACUUCGUGUACCCUUAUUGCCAUAGAUGUAAUAGUCUAGUACAAAUAAUUCGAAUCUCACAAUCUAGAUCAAGACAUCCAUUUCCACAUGCAAAAAAACAGUUGCUAAUAUUAUUAUUAAUGUUGCUAAUUGUUAUGAUUACCUUCAAACGCACAAUAUUCAACUUUCCCUUGUUGCUUCGAAGGAAAAAUCUUGAAUACGUGAGAUAGGUGCAGAAAGGGGAAAUGGAAGGGCUGGGAUGGGAGAAACCUUACCAUUUAAAAAAUGAUUAAAGGACUCUGGAACUUCUGGCACAAAUAAGAAGCUCAAAAGAUAUGAUUUUCUAAAUUCACUUCUCAGAAGAGAGUCCUGGGACAGAACAUUUUCUGCAGGACUCCAGAGAACAGGUGCAGGGGGAAAAUAAAAGUUAUGGAGCAGAGUUUGUGUUUCAUAAGAAAACAUAGGCAGAGCUUUAAAGCUGUUCAACAUAAGAAAAGGCUGUCAUGUGAGAUAGAGAGUCCCCCAGCGUAGGAGCAUUCAAGUGGGCAUUGCAUGCGUAAAUAUAUCAGGACAUAAGGGAAUGAAAAAUAUGAUGUGUGUUUAAUAAUUUGCAGAGAGAAAACUGGAGUUUGAGGUUAUAGAGGUGGCAGUGGCCAGAAGAGAUGAGGAAUAUGCAGAACUGAGUGGGAGAGGCUAAAACUGUAGCUUACAGACUGAGCACAGAAAACUGUGUUUUGCAUUUUUUUUUUCUGCAGGAAUUGGGGACCAUGGAAGGAUUUGAUGUGGAAAGUGACAUGAUUAUUGAUAUGCAUUUGGAAGUUUACUCUAUUGGCUAUAAGCAAGAUGGAGUGGAGGAAACAAGCCUAGAAAAUAUGCAGCUACUACAGUAGUCCAGGUGAAGGAGGCCUGAAUUAAGGCAGGGGCAGGAGGGAUGAUGAAGAGCAGGGAUAUUAAGGACAUAGUGCAAAAGCGUAAGGGACAGGCUGUAUCAACCAGUCCUUCCAAGUAGCUUCCACUCACUGUCUGCCACCCCUGUGUCUGCCCUCCUGGAAAACAAAUCAGCCUUCCUUGUUUGCAAGAGCAGACUCAAACUGUCUGUCGCUAGGCUGCGAAGGUUGCAGUCACCUUGAGUGGAUUCCCCACGCAGCUCAGUGAGAAGCAGAGCCUUCCCUCUGCUGCUCUGUCAGCUCCACUUUGCAUCAAAACUGCUUUGUGUGUCACCAAGUUAUUAAAGUUGCGGAUUGCAGUGCUGUGUCAGGCGAUGUUGUGCUAAAACUGGGUCAGAGAGGGCUGUCUCUCUGGCAAGACGUGGGCUCCUGGUGUCCCCACAUGCCAGCCCUGGUUGCAAAGACUCCUUGGCUGCCUCUCCCCAGCUGGCUUUGAGAGGAGGACAUAAUAACCCUGUAGCUUGGCCUUUGUAUUUAGCAGCUCCAGUGGUAAAUAAUUCCCUACAAGAAGAUUGAAAAGGGCUCCUCUGUUCUCUCGGUGAUUCUUUGUGUCCAUAAAGAUGACAAGGUCGUGGUUUUUUCAAUUCUCUUUUGAAUCCUUCCUUUUCACAGAUAGAACAGCUAUAGAAAGUGAAGAAUCAGCUGUUUCAAAACGCAGGCACCCAAGUGUCCCCUCUGCUGUUCCAGGCAGCCCAGGGACAAAAGGGAAACAGAGGGGUACAAACAAACAGAAAUAUGUUCACAAAGGGUGAAAGGGUGUCAGGAAGAGACACAAAACUCCACUAUGUCUCUGUGGUCUCAUGGACCAGUCCAUGGACCAUGUCUCAAGGAAUGGUCUCAUAACAAGGGAGACACAGAGAUGCAAGUUUGGGAUCAGAAGAAGAAAUAAGUUCCUGGACGGAGGGAGCUCCCUCAAUUCAAUUCAAUUCAAUCCAGUGCACAUGUAUUGAACACCCACUAUGUCAUAGUUGUGGAUACAUCCACGAACAAAAUAAACAAAACAAAGAUCCCUGUCCUUGUAGAGUUUAUAUUCUAGCAGAGGGAGAAAGAUAAUAAAUGAUAGACAUAAUAAAUAAUUUAUUAUGUAAAUAAUUACAUAAUAUCAAUCAUCUGGUAUGUUAGAAGGUGAUAAGCUAUGGAACAUUUUCAUAGGUAAAAAUCCAUGUAAAAAUCUAUGGAGAAAAAGAGACAGAGAAUGGAAAAGAGGAAUGUCAAGGGACAGGAUUGCAAUCUUAAAAAGGGUGUCUAGGCCUCAUUAUAAAGGUAAUAUUAAAAGCAAGAUUGAAAAAGGUAAGUGAGUUAUCCUAGUGGAUUAUCUGAGGGAAGCAUGUUCCAUAAAGCGGGAAGAUCCAUUUCAAAGGCCCUAGGUAGUAGUAAUGUGCUUGGCAGGUCCAAGGCACACCAAAGAGGUCAUUGAGGCUGGAGGUACAUAGGUGACAGGAAGAAUAUAGAAAAUGAAUAUGGAGCAAGGUGAGGGAGAGCCUAUAGGUCUAUGUAAGGACUUUGGUUUUUACCAAGUGUAUCAUAAGAAGCCCUUGCCCCAGAAGUUCAUGAAAGCUCAGCAUGAAGUAGAACAUAAACUAGAAAACAUAUUCUAGAAUACUGGUUCUCAAAUGAGGAUUAUUUUGCUUCCCAGGGGAUGCUUCACAACGUCUGGAAACAUUUUUGGUUGUCACAAUCAAGGCAGAUAUGCUACCAGCAUCCAGUGAACAGAGUCCAGGAAUGCUCUUAAACAUCCUACAAUGGACAGGACAGCCCUGUACAGCAAAUAAUUAUCCAGCACAUAAGUCAAUAGUGUUGAGGCUGAGAAACCCUGCUCUAGAAGAAAGUAGAGCUUCAGUGGCUGGCAGGCUACAUGUUCUUUGAGUAAAACGUACCAUUACUUUUAGGAGAAUCUAACAGGCCAACUUACCCUUUAGGUAUGGUAGGCAUAGUGACUAAAAUCCAUAUUUUCAGAGGGCUACAAUAAGUUUUAAAUUUUUGAUAUUAAAAGAAAAAUAUAGAGUAGAUUUUGCAUUAUAUUAUCUUUAUUCCAAAACAGUCAUAAAAUAUUGGGGUUUUUUGUUUUGUUUUGUUUUGUUUUAAGAUGGAGUCUUGCUGUGUUACCCAGGCUGGAGUGCAGUGGCGUGAUCUUGGCUCACUGCAACCUCUGCCUCACGGGUUCAAGCAAUUCUCCUGCCUCAGCCUCCUGGGUAGCUGGGACUACAGGCAUGUGCCACCACGCCCGGCUAAUUUUUUCUUUUUUUUUUUUUUUUGUAUUUUUAGUAGAGAUGGGGUUUCACCGUGUUAGCCAGGACGGUCUCAAUUUCCUGACCUCAUGAUCCACCCGCCUUGGCCUCCCAAAGUGCUGAGAUUACAGGCAUGAGCCACUGUGCCCAGCCUUCUUCUUCUUCUUUUUUUUUUUCUUUUUAAUGGACCAUAAGGAACCCAUGAAGGGAAAGGUGCUUAGGGAAAGGUGGCCCUAGAACUCAGCCUUCUCUGCCCUUAGAUUGGAACUUGUCUGUUCUUGAGUCCUUCAUCCAUCAACUGUGCUCCCAGACCUAAAGAACUCAAUCUUGUCCUGCUCUCUUUCCUUUCCAGGUGUGUGGAGUUCUAAACCUAACUUACUACAAAGUUCAGCCCAACAGAAGUCAUUUUCAUAGAACCACAGAAGAACACUGUCAGAGCUAGAAGGGUCUUUUGAGCUUAUCUUCUCUGGCUAUCUCAUUUUAUAAGAUAAGGAAAGUGAGUCCCAGACAGCAGAGACAAACUGAUUAAUUUGCACCAGAGUUGGAGCUCAAGGAAUCAUCUCAGGGCUCAUUUUACCAGCUUUCAUUUUCUAGUCUCACGCUUGAUUUAUACCAAUUUCCUCAGAAUGAGUCUCAUGAUAUCCAAUGUGAAAAAUAAAAACCCAAAACCCUUAAUGUCAUUCUGUGCCAUUCCAUGACACUUUUCAGUUUUCAAAGCUCUUGAGUACACUAUUUCAUUUGAGCUUUAAAAUAGCCCUGUGAGAUAGAGAGAAGGCAACUUUUUCAUGCUGAUUUCUGAGAUGCACAAACUGAGACUCAGGGAGUCCACAUGACAUGUCCCAAAUUACAGGGCUAAUACGGGGUGGUGGUGCAGACUGAAAUUCCAAUCCCUGACUGCUCUUUUAGGACUGUCUUCCAAGUCAUCAUUUUUUAUUAUUCUUGGUAUGUCAUGUGAUACCUAGAACAUACUUUGCAUUCAAUAAAUGCUUAUUGAGUGAAUAGUUGAACUGUUGUGUUUCAUAGAUUAAAUCAUGUUCCCAGAAACAGAUAAAAGCCUGGUACAUUGUAAUAAGGUAGAUGUUAGUCUUGCCCACAAAAAUGUCAGCAAAGAAAAGGGGAGUAGGGAAGCAUUUGUAAUUUUAGUUCACUUGAAACAGAAACAUUAUACUUUAUUGUUUCCCUGUGCCAUUUUCAUAAGCAUGAGAAAAUAAGUGCAAAUAUGAGGAAAUAAAAUGAAAGAUGAUAAGGUGUCAAAACUUCAGAUUGUCUGGGAAUUUCUGCUUAAGGGAGCCAAAUAAACAGAUUGCUCUACGGACUUGCUAGUCUUCCUGACCUAUAUUGUUCUUAUUUUUUAAUCUGGAGCCAUUCAACCCUAGAGGUUAAAGAAAAAAAAAAAAAACCCAACCUACUUUGUUCUAGGAAACAAGUAGGAAGAAAAAAACAAAAUUGGCUGCUGAGCCAAUUUUGACCUAGUCCUACACACUGGGGUUCCCUGGAUGGCCUGUGCAUAUGCCCCUGCCAUAUGGCCUAAUUAUAGAAACAGGGUUUUUUCCUUAUUCAUUCACUCAUCACAAUCUGAUAGUGAGCACCUACCAUUUGUCCUCAUCGAUUCUUCCAUUUAGUAGCAAAUAUAUAUUGAGCACCUACUAUUUGUUAGGCAUUGUGUCUGGUGCUGAGAGAUUGAGAAAAAAAGGCAUAGUCUAGCUCUCUAGAAGCUCAUAGUUCAGACUGAAGUGUAGGAAGUGCACCUGUAAAUAAACUGACAGCUACAAAAUCAGGUGAUUAGACCUAGAAACAGAACAUGGACAAAGUCCUCUGAGAACAGACAGUGGGGAGUGCCUGAUUCUAUUCAGCGAAAUGGGGUGAUUGAGAAGGCUUUGCAAAAGAUGCCAAAAAAGAGGCAUGGAAGAGACUUUAGAAGGAAGUGAAAGGACGCUCUGGAUAGAGACAGCAGCAUGAGCAAAGUCAGACACAUGUAAGAGGCCAUGCCACUUCUAAGAAAGCUAAUAGUAUCCCAAUAAUAAUAAAUUCCAGUACUGAUUGCUUAUGAAGGACUAAGCCAUGGGUUAUUUUACACACACAAUAUUACUGAAUCCUCCCUUCAGUGCUGAGAUUUACCUAUUUCAUGGAUGAAGAAGCUCUUGUCAUUGAGAGGAAGUGGGUGACCUACAAUUGCUCUUAUAGCAUAGCUAGUAAGAUGAGCCAGUAAUUGGACACUGAUCUGUCCAUUUCCAAAGCCCCUAUACUGCACUGCUGCUUCAUUUUAUUGAUGGGAAAACUGAGGUUGAAGCAGGUGAAUUCCCUUGCUCAAAGAUCACAUGGCUGUGACAGUUGAACCUAAAACCAGGUCAGGUCUGUGUACUAUCCGCUGCCCCACCCUGUCAUUCUGUACAGGGACUCAUUAAAGAGAUUUCAGUGUGGAGACAGAAGUGUUUGUUUUGUUUUGUUUUUCCACCUUAGUGACAAGAGCUGAGCUACACAGCCUCAAAAAUAAAUGUUACCCUUAUGGUGUGAAUAGAGAUAUCAACACAAAUUGCCUCUGAGUCUUUUGCAUCAUGAAAGGGAAAAUAUACUCAGCUGGAGGAGUUUCAGGAAAAAAAUGAAAGAGAAAGAAAAAUAAUGGGCUGACUGAAGAAGGAUAUGGACGUCCUUUGGGAAGAAAUGGCAAAAUAAAGGCAGAAGAUUUUAGGUUGAGGCAGUGGGAGCACUUGGGAGUUGCAGGAGAGGGUAGGCAGAAGCCAGGAAUGUACAACAUACAAGAAAUAAAGAGGACAGCGAAGGCUGCUCUUGUGUAGAGAAGCAAACAGAACACACAUCAGUCAAGACGGCUUUGUCUGAAAUCCACAGAGGAGAAAUGAGGAGGAGUAUUCUAAGAAAUUAAUGGAGGAAAAAGCAAAGAGUUGAGAUUAAGAGUCCCACUGGUGAUAGAGCACACAUCCAAAAAGAAAGAGAAAAGCGUAACUGAGAAAGUUAGAGUCUAAGAAAAAAAGUAGUAACACAAAGGAGAAAAGCCUAGAGGCUUAGAAAGGAAGCCUUGAAGGAUGACAAUAGAAUCACACAAAUACAGAGAAAUUACAAGUUAUCAUAGGGGGUAUAUAACACAACUAAGAAACAAAGAAUAUGAGCUCUGAGUGAAGAGCAAGUGCAGAUAACUUGAGUAUAAGAAAGAAGGCAAUGUGUACUGAUAAAAUGUAAAUGAUUCAUGAAGGGAGCAGGGGUCGAUAGCUAACACUUAUUGAUCACCUGUAAUGUGCCCAGUAUUUUAUAUAUGGUCUAUUAUUUAAUUGUCCUAACAGUUCUGUGUUGUCAGCAUGUUUAGACAUAUGUUCCUGAUCCAGGAGAGAUUAAGUGCUUUAAACGAGGUCACACCUCUCGCAGUGCUAGAGCAAGGGCAAGCAUUGAGCUGUGCGUAAGUCCAGAGUCACUCCUUUACCUAUAUUUCAACCAGCCUUCAUCAAGAUUGGUGGGUUAUACACCGGUCAGUAAAGAGCAACAUGUUUGGAAAUGCUAUUCAGUAUAUUCUCGGAUGUUAAAAUACAACAAAUGCUAUUAUUAAACUAUAUCAAGUGAUUUUCACAGUGCUAGAAACACAGAGAUCACUCCAUAAACGUUGGUUUUAAUGAUUAUGCUUAGACAGAAAUUGGACCUGGAAAAUUGAUGUGAUUUAUGUGUGAGCAAGAAUAGAGAUUGAAAAAGAUAGAGGGAAAGAUAUUACAAUUUCUCUGCUGAGAGCUGAUGGUAAGCAUCUUUUCCCAAUCCCACAUUUAUUGACAUCAUGUUGGUAUCUUGAAAUUAGCCAUGGUGGGAGUAUUUACACCAUAGAAUUUGGCAAACAGAAUCAAGGCUUUCUAUUCCCCCCAUCUCACCCCUGGAGAGCUGGUUGUUAAAUAUUUACCAGCAUACCAGUCUAUAUGUCCCAUCUGGGAGGCUGGGUGGGAAGAUGUAUGAUCUUAAUUAUAUUAUAGGAAAGUUCAAAAAGCAUGUUUUUAAAUAAAUUUACCUUCCCCUCAAAACACACACUAAAAUAUGCUUGUAGAAACAAGAUUUUUUCUUGAAACAAGAAAAAUAAUUUAUUUGAAAGACGAUUUUAAAUGUCUUAGGGAAAAAGUAUAAUGUAAGGAAGUGGCUAUGUAUGACCUGUGAAGCUACAUGUUAAAACUUGGAUCUGGACAACAGACAUUCAGAUACAUGUACUAAAAUUCAGAAGCAUCAUAGAGCAUGUAUGAGAACAGCUUUUGGGAUAAAUGCAUUGGAAAUUAAAUUCUGGCUCUGCCACUUGCUAGCCAUGGAAUCUUAGGCCAAUUAGUUAACUUCUUUGUUGCAAUUUCAUCUGUAAAAUAAGGAUAAGUACAGUAAUUCUCAGAGGAAGUCCACAGGACUUGGUGAAGCAGUGCAGGCCAAGCAAUUUGCACAGUGCCUGAGACACAGAUUCAUCAUUACACGCUGGCUUCCAUAACUAUACCUAGCCAGAAACUGGACCUGGGAAAUUGCUACAGUGUAUGUGCAUGAAAGAAUACAGAUGGUAAGAGAGGAAACACUGCCCUCUUUUCUGAUUCUUCUAGGGUAACAAAUGCAAUGAAUUUCUCAAAUGCUGAAAUAUUUGACUAUAACACAUAGGGGAUCCUUGGAGACGACAGAAAAUACAUAGUGGAGAUAUCAGUUUCCUUCCUGUGAAACAAGGUGAAUUGGCUUUAUCAGUGCUUCUCAAAUCUGCUUAAUGAUCAAAUCACCCAGGGAAUUCCAAAAAUUAUGCACUUCCUCUUCAUAACUUAGAAGGGUUUCAUUAAGUCCUUCAAGGUUGGGGUCCAUGAACCUGUCUCUUUUUUCAAAGCACCCUCUCCAGGAGAUUUUGGUUAUUAGUUAGGUUUGCUGACCACUUAACUACAUCUCAGUUCUAUCUGUGUCAACCAAAGAUAAAAUUAUUACCUAUCCAAUUGCAGGCCCAGCCCCCACCCCUGGAUGUUUCUCUUGAACUAGCUCCUUGCCCCAGAAUUGGGGGCCCCUGACCAUCAAGGCUGGUCACAGUUUGGGAAGUCACUGCCUCCCAAGGAAGUUCAUUCAGCAUUGGUUAGGUCUGGCUCCCCUGAAAACUCAGGCUUAGGCUAACUCCACACCUGUUUAUGCCCUGUAAUGUCCAUCUACCACUCCGCUCGGGGUCAAGUAGAGUCUAUGGAGGGCAUAUGCCAGCACACAGCCUGGCAUUCUGUGAGUGCUUGGGAAUAUCCAAGGGACCCCUAUGGGCCCGAAAUCCUACUGGAAUUCAGUGCACUAGCAAACACUGGUUGAUGAUCUGAUCAGAGAAGGCUUCCAGAAGAAAUGAAGUUUUAGCUGGACUUUGAAGGAUAGAAAGGGCUUAAGGAGAUAGAAAUUAGGUGUUGGGAAAUGUUGAAGCUCCUUAUCUUAGCAAGGGAUGAGAUCAGAAAUGAGUUUUUACAUCUGUCACUCAUGGAUGGUGUGGUGGAUGGAUUAAAGGGGAGAAUACGGGAGGUAAGAAACCUCCCUUGCAUGGUCUAUGCACACAGGGAGAAGCCAAUGGGCACAGUAUGGUGGGAGGAUUUGAAGGCCACGAGGGCAGUUGGGGCCAUGCAGUCACAGAGUGGGGAAAUAGCAUUUAUUAAGCCCCUACUGUGUGCCAGUGGUCUGCCUCCACUAUCUAACUCCCUCUCCAUCCUAAUCUAAGAAAGUAAGCAUCUUUAUCCCCAUUUGGCAUGCUAACAAACUGAGGAUGACAACAGUUAUAUGACUUUCUUAAAGCUAUUCAUGCAAGAAGUGGUAAAAAUUAGGAUUUGCACCCAGACUGGCUUGUCUCUACAUAUCAGGAACAGAAAGACAUGUAAUUAAACUGCAGAUUUUUUUAAAAAAAGGGAAAUGGUGACAGAGUAGCCAUUUGCAGAGGAAGCAAAGGGGGUAUCUAGAUAAAAAAUAGAAGGAGAGAAACACACACACAUACACACACACACACACACACACAAUUACAGUCUAAGUGAGCCUGUCCCCUUGUCCUCUGGCUAAUAUAUUCUGGGGCGAGUUUAGGGGAUCUAGGAGAGAAUGACUUGUCAGCUCAUAGGAAGUAAAUGAUAGCAUGAGAAUUACCGAUAAUCUUAUUCUCCUCUUUCAAACCUACCAAGGGACUAAGACGCAUGUAUUUUUUUUCUUUUUUCAGAAGAGGUUCGUUUUUCCUUUCAUAACCACGGGCCUAGAUUGUUUCUCUUUUCCCUCUGGUGUUUGGUCAAAUACAACCUGAUACGUGAUGAGACUGAGCCUUUGCUAGGGGAUACAAAAAAAAAAAAAAAAAAAAAAAAAAAAAAAAAACCAAAGUCGUACAUGUUAGGCAUUUCCAUUCAGAAGGACCUCCUCCUGUCUCUUCCACUUGAGGCUUUUGCUCAAAUUAAAUUACCUUCUGCCUGUUGUCACCACUGUUCUAUAUAUAUCUAUUGCCUGAGCUAUUGAGAUAAAUGAGUGGAGCCCAAGUUGUUGGGUCAGGCCACAGGAGACAUCACAGUUGCUACCAACUCUCUAAAAGAACAGAUUGUGUUUCUGGCCCUGAAAGUCCCACUCCAUGCUUUGUGGGACAGAGCUAAAAAGGGCUAUAGUAUCUAUGUCUCGUGAUUUUUGAGUUCAUUUUCUAACAAGAUCAGGAAUCUCUUUGACAUUCAUCAAAGCAAUUGAGGGUAAAGUCUCCACGUUCUUUUGAUGGGUUCCUAGGGCCAGUCUUUUCCGUUUCAAUCCACCCACCACACCAUCCCCUGAGUAACAGAGUUACAUCUCAUUUCCGAUCUUUUCCCUCCCUAGAAUAAAGAACUUCAGUAUUUCUAAACACCUUAAGAGACAUUCCAGGCCCUUCUGGGUCUUCCCUGCUGCUGUCCUUCUAAUUUUUUUCUUCUUUAUCUCACCUUUAUUUUUACUAUUAAAAACAAUUGUAAUAAUAGGUAUCACAAAUUUAAGUGCUUACUAUAUGAUGGUGUGCCAAUUAAUUUCUAUUCAUCAUAUUAAUGUAUUUUAUCCCAUUAUAAUUCUCUGAGGCAAACAUCUGCAGUAUCCUCAAUGUACCAGACUAGAUGAUGAAACUUAGGAACAGAAGGGUUAAGUAGCGUAACCUGCCCCAGGUCACACAGCUUCUAUGUGGUAGAUCAGUGAUUUAGGUCUGUCUGUCACCAAACCCCAAAUCACUAAUCUUUACCUCAUGUAUGUCACACUACAAUAUAGCCACUUGUUUACAUGUCUGUCCCUCUGUCACCUAAAUCAUCAACUCCUACCAAGAGAUUAAGAAUCAUGCUUUUUUUUCCCAUUGUUUUUGUCCCUGCUGGAACAGGGUCAUGGUGGCCACACAGUAUAUAUUUCCCCAAUUUUAACAUUUUUUUAUUUUAAAAAGAGGAGGGCAAUAUUGCCAAUGGAUGGGGUUGAUAUAAAGAUUUUCUUUUUCCUGAAAUGGAGUCUUGCUCUGUCACCCAGGCUGAAGUGCAAUGGUUCACCCUUGGCUCACUACAACCUCCGCCUCCCAGAUUCAGGUGAUUCUCGUGCCUCAGCCACCUU